UAGGGAAUCUUGGUCAAUGGGCGCAAGCCUGAACCAGCCAUGCCGCGUGUGCGAAGAAGGCCCUAGGGUUGUAAAGCACUUUCAGUCGCGAAGAAAAUCUUGAGGUUAAUACCCUCAAGCCUUGACGUUAACGACAGAAGAAGAUCCGGCUAACUCCGUGCCAGCAGCCGCGGUAAUACGGAGGGAUCGAACGUUAAUCGGAAUUACUGGGCGUAAAGCGCGCGUAGGCGGCUUGGUAAGUGGGAUGUGAAAGCCCCGGGCUUAACCUGGGAACUGCAUUCCAAACUGCCAGGCUAGAGUAUGGUAGAGGGAGGUAGAAUUUCCUGUGUAGCGGUGAAAUGCGUAGAUAUAGGAAGGAAUACCGAUGGCGAAGGCAGCCUCCUGGACCAAUACUGACGCUGAGGUGCGAAAGCGUGGGGAGCAAACAGGAUUAGAUACCCCCGUAGUCC
rnacentral:rRNA from 1 species